AGUGUGUUUCCAAAUUAAAAGGUUCUAAAUUGCAUAAAUGUUGAUAAAGAAAAUGUGCAAAUUUGCCGUCACUUUUUCAAAAAAUAUUAAGUUUGGCCCGCGGCUCCAUCCCAGAUUUUCAUUUCGGCCCCGUGUGAGUUUGAGUUUGACUCCCCUGAUCUAACACGUGGACUUUCUGCUUCCUGAUCACGUGACGUGUGACGUACGCGGAUGAAGAUCGGCUUUAGAGCUGGGAUGUUUGUUCUCACGGUGCGGGGGCUCGUUCCGACGCCCACACAGUAAAAACUUGCCAAUGACAGUUAAAGAGUUGUUAAAGCGUUGAAAGGAAGUAGGGCUGAAACGAAUCAUCAAAUGGUUCGAUUCAUUAAGUUCCUCGAUUCAUUUUUUUAGUGAUUCGAAGCUUCGUUAAACGUGCGCUCCACAGUGUGAACACAUUUUACUGGAGCUCUACGUGGUGAUCUCGGUGCUGUGGUGGAAAAAAGAGAAACCAGCAACGACGGAAACCAUCGUUAGAGGCAGAAACGGUCCAACGUUUGGAUCAAGAGUUAAACUACAAGCAAACUACUGAAUUGGCUGACUGAGUGGAGGUGGUUCAUAGAUGUCGCAACCUUUAUGUCAGAAGGGAACCCCCCCCCACACACACACACACACACACACACACGCACACCUUUUGCUCUUUCCAUUGUUCUCAAAGAAAUCCAUUCCACUUGAUUCAUUAGAAAUGACUCAGUCGGCUGAAGUCCGUUUCACGUUUUCCUGGUUGCUCUGCUGCACGCAUGGUGGGCGUGACUGACAUGGUUGUCAACAAAGUUAGAAAAUAAAAGACCGAACGAACCAAAGUGAAACUACAGGCUUGUGGAAGCUGGAGGAGGAGUCAGUGCCAUUACUAUCCCAUAAUAAGCAGUGUCCUUGUCUGAUCCCUCCACAGACACGGGGACAUGAGGACAUUUCUCACAAAGAAGCAUAAAAUAAGUAAAACUGUCCAGAAUGAAUGCUGACAGAUGCUUUGAAACCCUCCGUCCCCCAGUUCUGGUUAGAACUGGGUUUGCCCGCGGGUCAUCUGGAUGAGGCCACAGAACCUGCAAAGACUCUCAAAAGGUCUGGAAAAGGACCGGUUCGGCUGGCUCCGGUGAAGUGGAGACGGUCAUACUGGGAAGUUUCGGUAAUGGAAACACACCAAUUAGUGCCUGGCUGUCCUAUAAAAGACACUCAUUCCUCCUUUUUGUGUGAGGAUGCCAGCUGGUCCUGUUCCCCUGCAGAUAGCUCAUCAGUACUUAAUACAAGUUGUUUAUUGUUUAUCUACGUUGGUGUUAGUUUGGGAUGUUCUGAUCAUACCAGCAACACCUGUGUGAACCCUGUGUGAUGCACUUGGGGUUCUUCCCCUUUUCCUUCAUGCUGUGCAGGACAGCAGCAACAAUGUAAAACAACAUGUCCGCCUAACUUUAACUCUGUCUGCGAGAGUGAUGUAAGCUUUGAGUCCUGCAAUGAAAAGCUCCAGCUCCUGGGGAAGCUGAUCACAGCUGGUUUAAUAAGAUGUGAAGAACAACAUCUGGGUGGAGUGAGGUGAGUUUCCAGGGAUCGCUGCAGAGAUAAACACCUCCCAGUCAGACGCAGCUACGCUCACCAACACCCGUCUGUAUGAGCGUCAGAAGGCUCGGCUAAUAACCGGACCAUAAGGAAGUUCAUGAUGCUGGAAGAGCAGCCUUUCUCUGUGGUGGAAGAAGAACCAAGUUUAUUCAUACAGCACGUGUCCCAGACUGAGGUCACACAAGGAGUUACAAUAAAACGCUGAACACUAAAGCUAGAACAUAAGACAAUGAGUAGAAAACAACAGGCUCCGCCCACUGCUCAAUCACCAAGUAACCCACUACAGGACAUAUAAUAACAUCUACAAUAAUAAUCAUUAUAAUAAUAUAAUAACAACAAUAAAUCUCCCAAAAUGCUCAUUUGUAAGGUUCCUUUGCUUUGUAGUGCUUUAGCCUGCUGAGAGCUUCAAAGUUAAAGGUUGUUACUGACAGCAGCUACAUCUAAGUGUUUAUUCAUUUUCCUUUUGACUGAAUAGUUGCUGAUUUGAUCUUGGAGACGUUUCUCCUCACAUCAGCUUCAGAUCUAAAGAAUGAUUUGUGAGUAGGUGUUGCGCUGACCUUAGAGGUGUGGCUGCCCCUCUCUAUUGUUCCUCAUCCUUUCCCUACACGCUGACUCCGUUGCGCGUUGCCAGCGCGUGACCGCAGAUGGAACCUGCGUGCGCUCCGGCGCGCGCCUCGCCAGGUGAGCAGAAUUGAGGCAAUUAAGAGCUCGUGCUCGGGGGAAAUGAAGUACAGCCAAAAUGUCUGCAACAAGCUUUUGCCCAGCGUGCGGCAGACUGAGAGGAGUGCAGAGCGAACACAAAUGGGUACACUGUGAGGAGGAAGACUUUGAUCUUGACGGGCUGUCGAUGUUCAACAGCUGGUGCUGGUUAAAGAAGAAGAUCCUGAAGAACAGAGUGCUGGUGUGGACCAGCAGGACCCAGAACACCUCCACAUAAAGGAGGAACAGGAGGAGCUCUGGACCAGUCUGGAGGGAGAGCAUCUCUGUUUGAAGGAGGAGACUGAAGCUGUCAGGUCUCCUGUUACUGCUGUUUCUAUAAAGAGUGAGGAUGAUGAAGAGAAACCUCUGGUCUCACAGCUUCAUCAGCAGCAAAUAGAAGACAGAGAUGUUCCAACCAGCAGCUCAGCUGACCAGAUGACCGCAGAAACUGGUGGAGGAGCAGGAACUAGCAGGAACCCAGAUCUGAACCCUCAUGAACAAACAUCUGAUUCUUCAGAGACUGAAGUUAGUGAAGAUGAUGAUGAUGAUGAUGAUGUGAAUCUGGACUCUGAGCUGUCAGACUCUGGGUCUGAAACUGGAGAUGAAGAUGAUGACUGGAAUGAGAGCAGGUCUUCUGAGUCAGAUGGUAAGUCUGUCAACAAGUUCUUCACAAGUGGUCUCUCCAGAGACACGUGAGGGAGACGAGUCAUCCAGCAGUCAGGUCUUCAGGCUGUUUGGUUCAUAAGAAAUGUGUUAGAGUGAAGCAACAUGUAGACUCGUGCAGGAAAGUCCAGAAGAAACCUAAAUCAUUUAGUCAUGAUGACUGGAGAAAGGUUUACUACAAAUGUAAACAAACAAAUCACAUGAGAGUCCACACAUAGCAGCUGCUGUUCCAGAGUAUGGGCCAGCCUCAUCCCACCCAUACUCUGCUUCUGGCCGCUAACAAGAUGGCGCCUGUGUUUGGAAUAGCCAGUUAGUAAUAAAAUUUCUUAACUUUUAAA